rnacentral:rRNA from 1 species
UGGGCCGAUACUGACGCUGAGGAGCGAAAGCGUGGGGAGCGAACAGGAUUAGAUACCCUGGUAGUCCACGCUGUAAACGUUGGGCGCUAGGUGUGGGGGGCCUCUCCGGUUCUCUGUGCCGCAGCUAACGCAUUAAGCGCCCCGCCUGGGGAGUACGGCCGCAAGGCUAAAACUCAAAGGAAUUGACGGGGGCCCGCACAAGCGGCGGAGCAUGCGGAUUAAUUCGAUGCAACGCGAAGAACCUUACCUGGGUUUGACAUCGCCGGAAAUCCUUCAGAGAUGGGGG